ACUUUCAGAGGGAACAUCACUGCUGCCACCCUUGACACCUCAGCUCCUAAUCUUAGUAAGAGAACCGGAACUACCCUUUUAUCUCAGGUAUCAAACUCAUGAAGAGCAAAGAAGAGAGGAGAGAGACAUUAUUCAGAGAUUUGGGAAUUUGGGAGUUAAAGAGACAACAUUUAUAGAUAGAGCCUUCCUAGAGUAAACUUACUUGUUGCCCUCUGCACAAAAGGGAACCAAAAUGAAUUCAACUCCACACUCUGGUUAUCCACAACGAGGACCUAUCCCUCGACGUGCAUCACUUGCAGCAAAAACUUGGGUUUUCCAAAUGGAUUCAGUGUCUCUCGAUUCCAUCUGGAUAAUAGACGUUGCAAUGUCAAGCCAAGUCAGCUUCGGUUUCUGCGAGGAGUAAGGGCCACGUGUAGAACUGAAACCAUUCCUUUUCAAUGUCAUUUAUUUUCUGGCAACAGUUUUGGGAAUCUCCACUGUGAUACGAGUAAAGUCAGCACAAGGCAGCAAAGAUUUCCUCCUCUGAAUCUUUUAAUCUUUUUAUGUUGAUUCUUUGCCACCGAAACCUAAGGAAAUAACUUGGCUUAAAUAUAAUUGCCAUGCAUUACCAUAACCUGUUGCUAGGUGUGGUUUCCAAACAGUUUUUAUUUCCCAUGUAUGUUCUUUGAUAAUAAAAUAACAUGACCCCUCUAGUAAUUAGUAAUGCUUUUCAAUAAUCACUCAUGG